CCUACGGGGCGCUACAGUGAGGAAUAUUGGUCAAUGGACGAGAGUCUGAACCAGCCAAGUAGCGUGAAGGAUGACUGCCCUAUGGGUUGUAAACUUCUUUUAUAUGGGAAUAAAACGUUCCACGUGUGGGAUUUUGUAUGUACCAUAUGAAUAAGGAUCGGCUAACUCCGUGCCAGCAGCCGCGGUAAUACGGAGGAUCCGAGCGUUAUCCGGAUUUAUUGGGUUUAAAGGGAGCGUAGGUGGAUUGUUAAGUCAGUUGUGAAAGUUUGCGGCUCAACCGUAAAAUUGCAGUUGAAACUGGCAGUCUUGAUUACAGUAGAGGUGGGCGGAAUUCGUGGUGUAGCGGUGAAAUGCUUAGAUAUCACGAAGAACUCCGAUUGCGAAGGCAGUUCACUGGACUGCAACUGACACUGAGGCUCGAAAGUGUGGGUAUCAAACAGGAUUAGAUACCCGGGUAGUC
rnacentral:rRNA from 1 species